UAAGGGAUCUCUUUGGACCCCCAGAAACCGACCGGCGUCCGAUUCCUCCAUGGAGCAGCACAAGGCCUGAUGCUCACUUUGCCCCUCACCAUGGACAGGGGGAGGAGUUACCACCCACCAUGUACCCACCAGCAGCCCGGCAGCACACUGUAUAGGACGCCCACCUUUCAAGCCCAGCUUGGCUUGCCCACCACUGAGAAUUCUGCUUCCGGUUGCUGGAGUUCAUCCCUGUUUGCACCUCCUUCGUAUUCAGCACCGUGUUUCCUGAAUGAAAACCAGCAAUAUUUUAAUACCCCUUCGAAUUUCUACACAAAUUCCACCAACGGGCUUUUCUCAGAUUCCAACUUUGCACCUCAAGGCCUUGCUGAUUUCUUACCCAGAAAUGGGGACUUCCCUCAGGUAAGG